UACGUAGGGGGCAAGCGUUGUCCGGAAUCAUUGGGCGUAAAGAGCGUGUAGGCGGUCCGUUAAGUCGGCUGUGAAAGUCCAGGGCUCAACCCUGGGAUGCCGGGCGAUACUGGCGGACUAGAGUCCGGAAGAGGUGAGUGGAAUUCCCGGUGUAGCGGUGAAAUGCGCAGAUAUCGGGAGGAACACCAAUGGCGAAGGCAGCUCACUGGGACGGUACUGACGCUGAGACGCGAAAGCGUGGGGAGCAAACAGG
rnacentral:rRNA from 1 species